GACAUACUCUGUUCGUUGGAAAC
rnacentral:snRNA from 1 species